UGGCCUCUUCUUGAAAAGAACUUGGGAGGUUUCAAGUACUUAUGAUGAUGCUAAUGAUGUUGUCUGUAGGGUUUUUGUUUAUUCUCUAUUAUUUUUGCUCCUACCCAUGAUGAUCCUGGUUGUCAGGGUCUGGCCAGAAGGAAGAGUACUUCAGCCAUUCAGCCUCUUGUGGGUUUGCAAUGGAUGACUCUUCUUUAAUAUCAGUCGAGGUGCAACUC
rnacentral:misc_RNA from 1 species